rnacentral:rRNA from 1 species
UGGGGAAUUUUGCACAAUGGGGGAAACCCUGAUGCAGCGACGCCGCGUGAUUUAGAAGGCCUUCGGGUUGUAAAAAUCUUUUCUAUGGGAAGAAAAUGACAGUACCAUAGGAAUAAGGACCGGCUAAUUACGUGCCAGCAGCCGCGGUAAUACGUAAGGUCCGAGCGUUGUCCGGAAUCAUUGGGCGUAAAGGGUACGUAGGCGGGUAAGCAAGUUAGAAGUAAAAUCCUGUAGCUCAACUACAGUAAGCUUUUAAAACUGCUCAUCUUGAGAUAGGGAAGGGGAAGUGGAAUUCCUAGUGUAGCGGUGAAAUGCGCAGAUAUAAGGAGGAAUACCAGUGGCGAAGGCGACUUUCUGGCCAUAAUCUGACGCUGAGAUACGAAAGCGUGGGUAGCAAACAGG